GGAGCUUCAAAAGCAAGUGGAGGAGUUGAUGAGCAAAGGUUAUGUUAGGGAGAGCAUGAGUCCAUGUGCUGUACCUAUUUUGCUGGUGCCUAAGAAGGACGGGACUUGGAGAAUGUGCGUGAAUUGUCGAGCUAUCAACAAUAUCACGGUAUAGUAUCGUCACCCAAUACCUAGGCUAGAUGAUAUGCUUGAUGAGUUGCAUGGUGCUUGCAUUUUUAGUAAGAUUGAUCUUAAGAGUGGGUAUCAUCAAAUUCGCAUGCAGGAGGGUGAUGAAUGGAAAACGG
rnacentral:lncRNA from 1 species